CGUGUCACGCCAUUUGUUCAGACCGCUAUUUAGAAAUUCAUUAUUAGUAUUAUUCGAGGUCGGGUGCAGAAGGCUAAUAACCUACUCACCCUAAAUCAAACCUAUUACUGAAACUUCAACUAAGCAAACCCGGACGGAUAAUACGAGGACGACCCUGGCUAAUACUAAACACAAGAUACGUUUCGGCUGCUGGAACGUGCAAACGUUAUACGAGAGCUCCAAAUUGCAGCAGGUAACUAAGGAAUUUCUCAAAUAUAAUCUACAUAUUUUAGGUAUAUCAGAAGUACGUUGGUUGGGGAAAGGAGAACAUCCCACACAAGGUGGAGAACGACUACUUUUUUAGUGGUAAUGAAUCUGGAAAACACGAAAGCGGUGUAGGAUUUCUACUCAGUAAACAUGCUAAAAAGAGUCUAAUCUCAUGGACACCAAUAAACGAAAGAGUAAUAACAGCAAGAUUCUACACCAGGUUCAGAAAAGUAACUUUUAUCCAAUGUUACGCCCCAACCAAUAACGCUUCUAAAGAGGAUAAAGAUGAAUUCUAUGACAUCCUCGAGAAAACUAUAAAAGACGUAAACAGCGGUGACAUAAAAAUUCUCAUGGGCGACCUUAAUGCGAAAGUAGGCGCUCAAAACGAGAAUUUGGAAGAAAUUAUGGGAAAAAACGGCGUUGGGCAGAUUAACGAAAACGGCACAUACUUCACACAGUUCUGCUCCAACGCGAACCUGGUAAUAGGGGGUACGCUGUUCCCCCACAAACAGAUUCACAAGACAACGUGGGUCUCGCCAGACAAAAAAAACCCACAACCAAAUCGAUCAUAUCACAAUCUCUAGGAAAUGGAGAUCGUCAUUACUCGAUGUGAGGAACAAGAGAGGUGCUGAUGUAGCCAGUGACCACCACCUAAUAGUUGGCACAUUGAGAAUAAAACUAGCAGUACCCAAGCAACCAGCCGAUAUGAAACGAAUAAAACUAAAUAUAGAGAAGCUACGCAUUCCACAAAUAGCAAAAUCCUUCAAGGAAAAAAUGCAAGAGACAAUAAACCAAAAAUCAGCACAAAAAUGGGAAAAUAUGGCCGACAACAUCAUUGAAGUCGCCAAAACAACAAUUGGAGUGAAAAGCAGGCAAAGGAAAGAAUGGAUCAGCGAAAACACGUGGUUGCUGAUAGAAGACCGAAA